GACGAACGCUGGCGGCGUGCUUAACACAUGCAAGUCGAACGGAAAGGCCCUGCUUUUGUGGGGUGCUCGAGUGGCGAACGGGUGAGUAACACGUGAGUAACCUGCCCUUGACUUUGGGAUAACUUCAGGAAACUGGGGCUAAUACCGGAUAGGAGCUCCUGCUGCAUGGUGGGGGUUGGAAAGUUUCGGCGGGUGGGGAUGGACUCGCGGCUUAUCAGCUUGUUGGUGGGGUAGUGGCUUACCAAGGCUUUGACGGGUAGCCUGCCUGAGAGUGUGACCGGCCUCAUUAGGACGGAGGUACGACCCAGGCUCCUAUGGGAGGCAACAGUGGGUAAUCUUGCACAAUAGGCUGAAGCCUGAUGAAGCAACGCCGCGUGCGGGAUGACGGCCUUCGGGUUGUAAACCGCUUUCGCCUGUGACGAAGCGUGAGUGACGGUAAUGGGUAAAGAAGCACCGGCUAACUACGUG
rnacentral:rRNA from 1 species